rnacentral:rRNA from 1 species
AUUGAACGCUGGCGGCAGGCUUAACACAUGCAAGUCGAGCGGGGGAAGGUAGCUUGCUACCGGACCUAGCGGCGGACGGGUGAGUAAUGCUUAGGAAUCUGCCUAUUAGUGGGGGACAACAUCUCGAAAGGGAUGCUAAUACCGCAUACGUCCUACGGGAGAAAGCAGGGGAUCUUCGGACCUUGCGCUAAUAGAUGAGCCUAAGUCGGAUUAGCUAGUUGGUGGGGUAAAGGCCUACCAAGGCGACGAUCUGUAGCGGGUCUAAGAGGAUGAUCCGCAACACUGGGACUGGGACACGGCCCAGACUCCUACGGGAGGCAGCAGUGGGGAAUAUUGGAGAAUGGGGGGAACCCUGAUCCAGCCACGCCGCGUGUGUGAAGAAGGCCUUAUGGUUGUAAAGCACUUUAAGCGAGGAGGAGGCUACUUUAGUUAAUACCUAGAGAUAGUGGACGUUACUCGCAGAAUAAGCACCGGCUAACUCUGUGCCAGCCGCCGCAGUAACAC